GCGAGCAGUAACAACGAACUGCGAGAAGUCAGCAGAGGUCAUAGUACCUGCCUAAUAUCGACACGCGGGGAAGGGC
rnacentral:ncRNA from 1 species